rnacentral:rRNA from 1 species
UACAGGGGGGGCAAGCGUUGUUCGGAAUUACUGGGCGUAAAGGGUUCGUAGGUGGCCACUUAAGUCAGACGUGAAAUCCCUCAGCUUAACUGGGGAACUGCGUCUGAUACUGGGUGGCUUGAGUGCAGGAGAGGGAUGCGGAAUUCCAGGUGUAGCGGUGAAAUGCGUAGAUAUCUGGAGGAACACCGGUGGCGAAGGCGGAUCUCUGGGCCAUUACUGACGCUGAGGAGCGAAAGCGUGGGGAGCGAACAGG